rnacentral:rRNA from 1 species
CAACGUAGGUAACCUGCCCAUGUGUCCGGGAUAACUGCUGGAAACGGUAGCUAAAACCGGAUAGGUAUACGGAGCGCAUGCUCUGUAUAUUAAAGCGCCCAUCAAGGCGUGAACAUGGAUGGACCUGCGGCGCAUUAGCUAGUUGGUGAGGUAACGGCCCACCAAGGCGAUGAUGCGUAGCCGGCCUGAGAGGGUAAACGGCCACAUUGGGACUGAGACACGGUCCAA